AGUGAACGCUGGCGGUAGGCCUAACACAUGCAAGUCGAACGGCAGCACAGUAAGAGCUUGCUCUUACGGGUGGCGAGUGGCGGACGGGUGAGGAAUACAUCGGAAUCUACUUUUUCGUGGGGGAUAACGUAGGGAAACUUACGCUAAUACCGCAUACGACCUACGGGUGAAAGCAGGGGAUCUUCGGACCUUGCGCGAUUGAAUGAGCCGAUGUCGGAUUAGCUAGUUGGCGGGGUAAAGGCCCACCAAGGCGACGAUCCGUAGCUGGUCUGAGAGGAUGAUCAGCCACACUGGAACUGAGACACGGUCCAGACUCCUACGAGAGGCAGCAGUGGGGAAUAUUGGACAAUGGGCGCAAGCCUGAUCCAGCCAUACCGCGUGGGUGAAGAAGGCCUUCGGGUUGUAAAGCCCUUUUGUUGGGAAAGAAAAGCAGCAGGUUAAUACCCCGCUGCUCUGACGGUACCCAAAGAAUAAGCACCGGCUAACUUCGUG
rnacentral:rRNA from 1 species